GUAGAAAUGAAUUAGUGCUGAAGACUGGCAAACCUGGACGUCUAUGCCUGGAUAUUUCAGUCAGCCUAAUAGAAUAUUCCAUAAGGUGUGGCCUGACUGCUUCCGACAUUACAAACCUGUGUGGCGUUUCUGAAAGAACAAUUCCAAGAAGAAUGGAAGAGAAUGACAUAAGCAUUUCGAGUACAGGAAUCCUUACGAAGAGUUGACCCAGAAGGAACUCUGAUGCGGGCUUUGUCAAUGCACACAGUAAGACCAAGAAAAUACUCAGUGCCAGCUCCUAACUGUCUGUGGCAUAUAGAUGGAAACCACAAACUUAUAAGGUGGCGCAUAGUCAUUCACGGUGGGAUUGAUGGCUUCAGCAGGCUGAUUGUAUACCUUAAAGCUGCCACCAACAACUGUUUUUGAAAAUGUCAUGACGGCUAUCGAUGAGUAUGGCUUGCCUUCCCGGGUGAGAUCAGACAAAGAAUUGAACGGUUGUGGAGAGAUGUGUUCAGUAGUGUCCUGGGUCUUUUCUAUCAGAUCUUUUACAACUUGGAGACUGAGGCUCUGCUCAAUUCAGACAAUGAAAUUCAUCUUUAUGCAUUGCACUGGGCUUUCCUUCCACAAGUCCAGAGGCACCUCCAAUUCUUCAAAGAAGGCUGGAAUAACCACAAGCUUAGAACAGAAGGCAACCAGUCUCCAGUCCAGUUAUGGCUAAGAUACAAGAGGGAAUGGGCCAGAGAAGAUCCCUCACAGGUUGAUGAGGAAUAUGGGAUUGACUGGGCUGGACCACACGGUCAUGAUGCUGAAGGAGUAUCCAUCCCCGAGAUCCAACUUCCUCGUCAGUUAACAGCACAAGAAAUUGCAACAUUGCCAAAUCCAGAAGACCAGCAUGCUUUGAGCAUUUACACAGACACUGUUACGAUAAUCUCAGAAAUAUUGGAUAAUUCCUAAAAUAGGAACAUGAUACAGUGACACAUACAUUUUUAUCGUUAUAGUUAGUAACAAGUAUAUACUGCACAUUUGUGUAAUGACUACCUCUACAAUUAUUAUUUAUUUCUUAGCAGACGCCCUUAUCCAUGGCAACUUACA